rnacentral:lncRNA from 1 species
GGAGUUAGCCUACGCAAUUUAUGCUCGCCCGUGCGGUAUUGAGAAGGCUAUUGGGCCGGGUGGGAUAGACUCAUUCUUAGAGUGGAGUGUUAUGUCUCAUAGGUUUUGAUGUAUGGUUCAUGAUAUUUAGUUCAUGAACUUAGGUAUGAUUUAUGGGAUUGGGUUCAUGAACUUGGUGUAUGGUUCAUGGGGUUUGGUUUAUGAUUCAUGAACUUGGUGUAUAGUUCAUCAGGUUGGGUUAUUGGAUUUGGUUCAUGAACUUGGAUAUAGUUCAUGGGUUUAGUAUAUGAGAUUUGGUUCAUGAACUUGGGCAUGGUUCAUGAGAUAUGGUAUAUGGUUCAUGAGAUUUGGUUCAUAGAUAUGGUUCAUAGUUUAUGGUUUAUGAAUUUGGUGUAUGGUUUAUGGUUCAUGGUGUAUGGUUCAUGAACUUGGUUCAUUUGGUUCAUAGUUCAUGAUUCAUAAGGUAUGGUUCAUGAAUUUGGUGUAUGGUUUAUGGGUUUGGUUUAUGGUUCAUGAGAUUGGGUUCAUGACCUUGGGUAUGGUUCAUUGUUCAUGAUGUAUGGUUCGUGAACUUGGCUUAUGGGGUUUGGUUUAUGAUUCAUGAGACUUGGUUCAUGAACUUUGGUAUGGUUCAUGGAAUAUGGUGUAUAGUUCAUGAGAUUUAUGUCUCAUAGGGUUUGAUGUAUGGUUCAUGAUAUUUAGUUCAUGAAUUUGGGAUGGUUUAUGGGAUUGGGUUCAUGAACUUGGUGCAUGGUUCAUGGGGUUUGGUUUAUGGUUCAUGAGGUUUAUGGACUUGGUUUGGCUUUGGAUUUGAAUUUAAUUCGAGUUUAGAUUUGGGUUUUAUUUGGGUUGGGAUUUGAUUUGAGUUUAUUUGUGGGCUUGGUUUGGAUUUGGGUCCGAGUCCGAGAAAAUCCUCUUUUGAUUUUGCAAUUUAAUUUGGGGUCCGAAGAAAUUCCCUUUUGAUUUUGCAAUUUAAUUUGGGGUCCGAAGAAAUUUUAUUUUGAUUUUGUAAUUUGAUUUGGGG